ensembl:lncRNA
CACCAAUUGUGCAAGUUCUCCCACUUGAAAAUAUGAGAGAGGCCUGUAAUUUUCAUCAUAGGUACACUUCAACUAUGACAGACAAAAUGAGAAAAAAUAAUCCAGAAAAUCACAUUGUAGGAUUUUUAAUGAACUUAUUUGCAAAUUAUGGUGGAAAAUAAGUAUUUGGUCACCUACAAACAAGCAAGAUUUCUGGCUCUCACAGAUCUUCUUUAAGAGGCUCCUCUGUCCUCCACUCGUUACCUGUAUUAAUGGCACCUGUUUGAACUUGUUAUCAGUAUAAAAGACACCUGUCCACAACCUCAAACAGUCACACUCCAAACUCCACUAUGGCCAAGCCCAAAGAGCUGUCAAAGGACACCAGAAACAAAAUUGUAGUCACAUGCUUCAUGCCCACCUCAUCCCACUCCCUACUCAAACAGCAGAACGUGAUCCCACAGCAGAAUGUGAUCCCACAGCAGAACGUGAUCACACAGCAGAACGUGAUCACACAGCAGAACGUGAUCACACAGCAGAACGUGAUCAAACAGCAGAAUGUGAUCAAACAGCAGAACGUGAUCACACAGCAGUAUGUGAUCAAACAGCAGAAUGUGGUCACACAGCAGAACGUGAUCACACAGCAGUAUGUGAUCACACAGCAGAACCUGAUCAAACAGCAGAAUGUGGUCACACAGCAGAACGUGAUCACACAUAUUAAACCACAGUUCCUGAAAGCAGCACACUCAUUUGAUGACCAUGAAUUGACCAAACUGACAGCGUAUUUGUACAUAUGAAUGACUGCAUAUAAGUCCAUAUACACAUGCAUGCAGAACACACAGACACACACACGUGCGCACAAACACACACACACAUACUUUUUGCGUGCAUGUGUGAAUAUGUACACACGUUUUCUAUCAUAGUGACUUCAAUUUAUAUCAUUGAAGUGACAGUAAAUGUUGAGAAGUCUGUUUGACGAGAUAUGCCACAUGUCUGGAUAGAGAUCUACAGUACAUGGCACAGGUCUCUAGAUACAAGCCCUUCAUAUUCACCAUGUCGGCAUUGGAGGAAGAGUCUCUGCUUGUAGUUGUGUGGCCCCUGAAGUCUUGUCAGAGAAGCAGGAAAGAGAGACCCAGGAGAUUGAGAACACUCUUUCCCAACAAGCACUUCUCCUUGUACCCUCUCUAAGAAAU